GGUUCCCUGCAUGGAGCCUGCUUCUCCUUCUGCCUAUGUCUCUGCAUCUCUCUCUUUCUCUCUUUGUGUCUCUCAUGAAUAAAUAAAUAAAAUCUUAAAAAAAAAAAAAAAGAAUAAAUAGCAGACCUGGCAUAACAAUUCAGGACAUCCAGAACUUUCUGUCCUAUCAUCAUUUUAGAACAGGUCCGUUAACCUGUCUCUUAAAUUAGAUAGAUUUCUGACCACUUUCUGGCCCCUCUGCCUCAGGCUUGAAACUGCAGCGUCUGCCCCGUGCCAGGUAGCUUGGACUUGGUAUCUCUGUUUUCCCUCCUGAAGAGGCUCCAACAGUGACCCCAUCCACUUCCUGGGACAAGACUACAUGCUGCAAAGGAAAGGACUGAAAUAGAUAGGAUUGCUGUAGAGUUGGUGUUUGUGGCUCCCUACCCCCAGGAAUUCAUCACUGGAAACCUAAUCCCCAAAGUGAUGGUAUUAGGAGGUUGGGACUUUUGGGCCGUGACUAGGUCAUCAAGGCAGAGCCCUCAUGAAAGGGAUUAGGGCCUUUAUAGAAGAGACCCCAGAGAACAUGGAGAGAAGGUAGACAUCUAUGCACCAGGAAGUGGACCCUUGCCAGACACCAUAUCUGCUGGCACCUUGUUCUUGAGCUUCCCCAUCUCCAGAACCAAAAAGUCAAAGGUUAUGGUUUAAGCCACCUGGUCUGUGGGAUUUUUGUUAGAGCAGCCCAAAUGGACUAAGACGAGGGUGAACUAACUUUCAUGGUAGAUUGUAUUAUUGUUCAAAAGGUCUACUAGCCUUCCUUGAAUGCCCCUCCCUGAGGACCUGUGGAAGAGCAUAUGCCUGCCCUGUUGGACCCGGGGCGGGGGGAGUGUGACAGUGGCCUGGCACCAUCUGUAAGAGCCUGUGGGUGGGCCAUUGUCUCUUCUCUCCAUUCCAGAGACCUGCAGUGUUCAGGUAGAGAUUGUCCAUCUGGGUCCUGGAGUGAAGAUGGGGGGCAGAGGAGCAGCCAGCCACAACAGAAAUAAGCAGGAGUGAGAAAUUAUCGCUUGUUGUUGGAAACUGGUUUAGGAUAAGUCCUAAGAAGUGGGAUUGCCGAAUCUGAGGAGUCCUUUGAAUACACAGUGCCAAACUACCCUCUAGGAAGCCUGCUUGUUCACUCCCUGACCAGUGUUCAUUUCUCUGUAAUCUUGUCAAUAGCAAGCAUGAUCGACUUGUCCAGAUGAUCCCAAUCUGAAGAGCACUCAACCCUAGUUUCAUUAUCAGCUAACCGGCUGCCAUCCUAACUUGGCAACUCUUCUGUCCAUCAGAUCACUCUCAAGUCAGGGUGUCAAGUGGAUACAAUCUCUGAGACGACCAGGUAGAAGGCCAAGCAGGAAAUGUUGCCCCUGGAUUUUAGAUACCCUCUGGAUUUCUCUUAUGCAGAGCCCCUCCCUCCUAUAUUGCCCUCUCUGCUUUCCUUUCUUUUCCCUAAGGAGAUUUUUAAAGCCACUUAAAAAAAAUAUUACACAAACAACAUCAGAAACAUUGGAAUUCUAAAUGAAAAAGAAAAAAAAAAAUCCCCACCAAUCAAUGGCCCCAAGGAAUUCAGUGUUUUUUAUUGGCCUGUGUUCCUUUGCAACCCUCAUCCAAAUGCAUGCAAGAUUUUUGCCUGCACAGAUCUCAUUUUGCAUCUGCCCCUUUGGCCUCCUGUUGGGUCAUAAGCAUCGUUCCACGUUGUUACAUGGUUGUCCUCUUUCUCAUUUUAAUUGUUGUACAAUGUUCCAAUGGGUAAGUAAUUUAAUAAUUAUUAAAGUUAAUAAUUUAAUUAACUUUUCCGUUUUCCUCUACUAUAAAUCAUGCUGCAGCGCAUGCUUUUAUGAAUUUAGCUUCUUUCAUUUGAAUUAUUUCCUUAGGUCAAUUCCCAAGAGUAAGAUGGUUGGGUCAAAGGUUGAGAAUGCUCUAAUGAUUCUUGGUGUGAACUGUUAGAGUUUUCCAGAAGAGUUUUCUUUUUUUCUUUUCCUGCUCAAAAAAUAAUAAUGCUCUUUUUCAACCAUAGAGAAGAAAGCAAAAAUUCUACUACCCAGAAGUUACCACUACUAACAUUUGGACAACCAGCCCUCCAAACGUCUUGAUGCAUAUGUAUACAUAUAGAUGUAGAAAUAAAAAUAAUUUCUCACUAAA